rnacentral:rRNA from 1 species
UACGUAGGGGGCAAGCGUUGUCCGGAUUUAUUGGGCGUAAAGAGCGUGUAGGCGGUUUGGUAGGUCCGCUGUGAAAACUCGAGGCUCAACCUCGAGACGCCGGUGGAAACCAUCAGACUAGAGUCCGGAAGAGGAGAGUGGAAUUCCUGGUGUAGCGGUGAAAUGCGCAGAUAUCAGGAAGAACACCCGUGGCUAAGGCGGCUCUCUAGUACGUGACUGACGCUGAGACGCGAAAGCGUGGGGAUCGAACAGG